rnacentral:tRNA from 1 species
CGGCCCGAAGCUCAGCUGGAUAGAGCGUCUGACUACGAAUCAGAAGGUCGGGAGUUCGAAUCUCUCCGGGCGUACCA